UGAGUUUUGUACAAUGUGGUCAGCAUAUCAAAAGGAAAUACUUUUUUCUGUCUGUUUUGAUUUUGAUGUCAUUCCAUCAAACAUUUAGCUGGUAGACACAGCAUUAGCUCCAAACUCAUUUUGAAGCAAUGAACAUUAGUCAGACAUAAACAAUUGGGCUGGGGGCAGAUUAGAUGAGUGCCAAAUUGUGGGAGAGAUUUUAAAAAAGGGACUUUGCAAACUGUGUCCCUGCAUGAACAGAAUUGUUGCAGAGCAGGAAACAGACCUUGAAGUGGUCUCUGGUGGAAGGAGCAGGGCUUUGUAGCACAAGGGAGUUGACCUACAUAGCAGCCUUGAGCCAGGUAUGCAGGAGCUUGGGAAAGGGAGGUCAGGUUGGGACUGAUGCAGGUCUGGCAUCAGAGUGAGCUGGGCAGAGGGUGGUGGACUUUGACAGUGUGGUACAGCUGAGUGGUGGCUUGAUCCAAAAUCCUCCAGCCUGCUCUCCUGGGGGAGCAGCAGGGUAAUGUUCUGGUGGCUUAGAGGCAAUUUAUGAGGUUAAACUGGAGGUUAGGAGGUGAAUUUGGCAACCAUGAAAAUGGGUCAAACUGCUAAUAUGUACAUAUACAGAAACAGUGCAGGCAGACAGCAAGCUUGAAAAACAGACUUGCAGUGACCAGACCUCGGACACCAUAAAAUAAGGAAUAACCUUUGUGACGUCUCAGUCCUUGCCCUGCAGAGUAUUUCAGGCCAGAGUGGCAGGUGGGACUUACUCAAGGUCUUAUCUUGAGUCAGAGCACAGCUGAAGGUUCAUUCCCAGGUUCAUGGUCUCACUGCUGGAACAGGCUGCCAGGAAUUACUGGCAAUAUGUUUGGUUUUAAUCUUUGCACUGUUCUCCAGUGAAGUUCUCCAGGCUGAAGUGCCUGGAAUUUAUCUCCAAAAUAUUUUGGAGGGGAAAUGUGAUCAUAAAGCUAAAGCUUUGGGCUAUGCAUGCUUCUUUUCAGGCUCCUAACAGGUUUGAGAGGGGUUCCAGGGCAGCUCUACAGCUGUGCUGUCCCCAGGGAAGGAAGGGUCCUCCUGCUGUGCUGGCUGCUGGUGACCUGGCAGGGAACAUGGAGCUGCUGGCUGUCACAGCACCACAGGAAGCACGGAAGGAUGCAACAGCACCACAAGCCGAGGUGGAAGCAGCAGAAGAAGCAGCUGCAAUGCCAGAGGCAGAAAGCAUAGUGGGGAAGGUGGUCACUCCUGAAGGAGCAGCAGCAACUGUGGUGGGAGCAUCGGAAAACCCAGCGGCAGAAAGAGUGGCUGAAGCAUUUGCCAGGGCAGCAGAAAGAAUUGCAGUAGCAGAAGUAGCCAAGGUGUUGCAGUCAGCAAUAGCUGAGCUCAAAGGGAAGAGGAACAACACGUGGAUAAAGCCAAGGAACACCACUCAGCAGGAAGAGGAUUGGAUGAAGGAGGGAGAGGUGAAAUGAACUGGAGAGGUGAAGUUCUGGGUCAUACCUCCUAAUGGCUUGUACCAUCACUUCUGGAAUGCAAUAGGGCUGCCAAUCACCUCUCUUU